rnacentral:rRNA from 1 species
CACACGACCGUACCGCAAACCGACACUGGUGCGCGAGAUGAGUAUUCUAAGGCGCUUGAGAGAACUCAGGAGAAGGAACUCGGCAAAUUGACACCGUAACUUCGGAAGAAGGUGUGCCUUUAGUAGGUGAACCUGUACAAGGGGAGCCCAAUGAGGUUGCAAAAAAUCGGUGGCUGCGACUGUUUAAUAAAAACACAGCACUCUGCAAACACGAAAGUGGACGUAUAGGGUGUGACGCCUGCCCGGUGCUGGAAGAUUAAAUGAUGGGGUGCAAGCUCUUGAUUGAAGUCCCAGUAAACGGCGGCCGUAACGAUAACGGUCCUAAGGUAGCGAAAUUCCUUGUCGGGUAAGUUCCGACCUGCACGAAUGGCGUAACGAUGGCCACACUGUCUCCUCCUGAGACUCAGCGAAGUUGAAAUGUUUGUGAUGAUGCAAUCUCCCCGCGGAAAGACGGAAAGACCCCAUGAACCUUUACUGUAGCUUUGUAUUGGACUUUGAACAGAUCUGUGUAGGAUAGGUGGGAGGCUUUGAAGUGUGGUCGCUAGAUCGCAUGGAGCCAACGUUGAAAUACCACCCUGGUGUGUUUGAGGUUCUAACCUAGGCCCGUAAUCCGGGUCGGGGACAGUGCAUGGUAGGCAGUUUGACUGGGGCGGUCUCCUCCCAAAGCGUAACGGAGGAGUUCGAAGGUACGCUAGGUACGGUCGGACAUCGUGCUAAUAGUGCAAUGGCAUAAGCGUGCUUAACUGCGAGACUGACAAGUCGAGCAGAUGCGAAAGCAGGACAUAGUGAUCCGGUGGUUCUGUAUGGAAGGGCCAUCGCUCAACGGAUAAAAGGUACUCUGGGGAUAACAGGCUGAUACCGCCCAAGAGUUCAUAUCGACGGCGGUGUUUGGCACCUCGAUGUCGGCUCAUCUCAUCCUGGGGCUGUAGCCGGUCCCAAGGGUAUGGCUGUUCGCCAUUUAAAGAGGUACGUGAGCUGGGUUUAAAACGUCGUGAGACAGUUUGGUCCCUAUCUUCCGUGGGCGCUGCAGAUUUGAGGAAGCCUGCUCCUAGUACGAGAGGACCGGAGUGGACACACCUCUGGUGUAUCGGUUGUCACGCCAGUGGCAUUGCCGAGUAGCUAUGUGUGGAAGAGAUAACCGCUGAAAGCAUCUAAGCGGGAAACUCGUUUCAAGAUGAGAUCUGCCGGGGCCUUGAGCCCCCUAAAGAGUCGUUCAAGACCAGGACGUUGAUAGGUCGGGUGUGGAAGCGCAGUAAUGCGUUAAGCUAACCGAUACUAAUUGCUCGUGCGGCUUGACCCG